rnacentral:lncRNA from 1 species
GACACUAUGCUCGAACAGAUACACAAUAUGAGUAACCCACAGAGCCGCCAGGAACCUCUCUCCAACAAUCAUGGUAGCUUUCUUUUGGGAGAUGUUCCAAACAUUUCAGACAAUGGGAGCUCCACGAAUGGAGCAUCUGGUGUUACAUUGGCUGAUGUUUCAUCCAAUCCCCCAAUUAACUAUCACGUCCCUUGUGAAGCAAACCAGAUCCUGGAGGGCAGUUUGCCGUAUUCUCAAGUUGAUCUCUUAUCUCCGAACCAAGGAGCAGCUUAUGGGAGCUCAAAUUCUGAUGUAGUUGGAUGUGA